UACAGAGGUCCCGAGCGUUGUUCGGAUUCACUGGGCGUAAAGGGUGCGUAGGUGGCUUUGCAAGUCUGAUGUGAAAUCUCCAGGCCCAACCUGGAAACUGCAUUAGAAACUGUGAGGCUAGAGGCUUGGAGGGGGAACUGGAAUGCUCGGUGUAGCAGUGAAAUGCGUAGAGAUCGAGCGGAACACCAGUGGCGAAGGCGAGUUCCUGGACAAGUCCUGACACUGAGGCACGAAAGCCAGGGGAGCAAACAGG
rnacentral:rRNA from 1 species